AGCAAAUCAAAUUCAUCAGAUUCUGAAUUUUAAAAGCUGCUGAAUUUCUUACUUUGAAUUUUUUUUGCAUCAAAAUUACGUAUGUGAAUUUUUUAUGCCUGAAUUUAGCUCAUCAAAAUUCUAAAAACCAGUUAAAAAUUCAAUGUCUUCAAAAUUCGCCAUCAAAAAAAUUCAAUGUUCAAAAUUCGCCAUCAAAAAAUUCAAUGUUCAAAAUUCGCCAUCAAAAAAUUCAAUGUUCAAAAUUCGCCAUCAAAAAAUUCAAUGUUCAAAAUUCGCUGUCAAAAAAUUCGCUGUUCACAUCUGGGGGACUCAGGCGUAAACAAUCGAUCCUGGCCAAAAUCGAACCAACGCCCAGCCAAUCACGUGGCGCUCCUCCGGUCAUGUGACGCAGACGGUUCCCCUCACAAGACCGGGGUCAACCACAGCUACCAGCAUGAAUGACGGCGCUUCAGACCUUUGCAGCGAGGACCCGAUGCCAGGUCCAGUGGACAGACUUCAGACGUCUCUGUGUGUCCCGUCCUGUCCGGUCCUGUCUCUGGUUGCCAGGUUACAGACGCUGCUGCACCCGCACGUUUAAAAAUGUCUACACCUGAAACUCCACCACGUCUAAAGAAGCAAAAACGUUUGCAAAUGUACAGACUGGAGUGGGAAGAGUGGAACCCCUGGCAAUGGAUACAAGGCAAACUGUGUUUAUGUUGCUCAUGGACUGGCUGAAGUAAGGCAGCAUCAGGAGACAAACGUGGAGGAAAUAUGAGAACAGAGAGAACCCAACCAGCAGGUCACAGUUUAUCAUCAUCUAAUCAUCUCCUGAAGUCCAUAUGGUCCCUCUCUAUCUCCCCACACAUCCACCAACCACUGGAACACAUCUCCAAAGUUCUGCUGGACCAGCUCAGCUUCCCCUCAGAAGAAGUGCUGCCACCUGCCAGAUGAAGGAGCCUUUUGAGAGGCAGCUGGGAUUGGACUGUAAAACUCCUUUAACUUAACAUCUGUAAACAGAACAAAAACGUAUCAACAAAGUUUUCUGUUAGAGUUUGUGUUCUUCUAAGUUUAACUCCAAGAUUUUAAAUAUUUUCAUUUACUGCAAAUGAAUAUCUACUCCAAAUGUCUCACUAAUAAUCAUUAUCAGCCUUAAAAACCCACAAAACACCCCUCUAUACUCCACCACACUUAGUACAGUCCGGUUCCCCCUUCUAUAAACCUGCUUGGAAUCUUCCACUUCCUGUUUGUCAAAGUGGCCUUCUACCUGGACAGGUUUUGUUGGAGCUCAUGCAACAAACAUUUUGGGUAACUGCACUUUAACAUGGAUGGAUGACACUGAAUUAGAGUCUGUUUUAAUGAGACUGAGUUAAGAUGUGUAGCUCUGUCAUUAAAUAGGAAAUUAUUUCUCAGAAUUCACAGAGAAAAGUCUGAAAUGUUUGCUAGGUUAGCGUCCCACAUGUUCUUUGGCUCAGCUAAAGCUAACUCUCUUCAACUUCUGGAUCUCUUGAGGUGCUUGUUGUUAAAAUAUCUUGCUAGAGAUGCUGAAGCUCAGAAAGUCUGAGAUGUUUGUUCAGAAUAAGCUCAUUCUCAAGUCUGAUCUGAACUGUCCUCUUCUGUUUGAACUUUCCCUAAACUUAGGAGUUAAUGACAGAGCAGCACAUCCAGACUCAGUCUCAUUUAUGUAGAGAUUAAACUUCAAUGUCAUUCAUUGAUGUUAAAGUGCAGUUUUUCAAAUGUUUGUUGCACAUGCUCCUGACCAAACCAGUCCAGGUGGAAGACGAUGUGAAGAGAAAGCUCCAGAGGAUGAAUAUCACACAUUUACAUUGGAAAUAAAUGUCCUUUAAUUAGACAUUGUCAUGUAAAAGUUGGAUUUCCCUUUAAUGAUGUACAAAUCUUUGUUGAGUGUUUUGUUGAUGUUGGUUUCUAAAUGUUUUCUGACACUCGGCCCCAAAGAUUAAAACCUUUUACGGCUCACAAGCUGCAACAAUUCACACAUUAUCAACUAUCUUUCUGACUAAACGAAGAUAAAAAGUGGAAAAACUGCCUGAUUCCUGCAUCAUGAAUGUAAAUCUUUUUGUUUUUUAUGACAGUAAACUGAAUAUAUUUGGGUUUGACAUUUUAUAAACCAAAACAAGAAAUGAAUUACUGGAGAAAACAAUCUACAGAUUAAUGGUCAAAGAAAAUGUGUUUUCCAACAUAUAUGGCUGAAUUACUCCAACAUUACAAGAUACAUACAAUUUAAAUUCAGUUUUAUUUAUAUAACGCCAAUUACAGGUCAAAUUGUCUCAAGAUGCUUUAUUUUUAUAUUUUCUGUCACAUUUAAAAUAUGACAGUAAGAAAUUUAAACCUCUUGACUAAUCCAAUUUAUUAUUUGGUUUUUAAGAGACUAAUCGACAAUUAAAAUAAUUUUCUCCACUAAAACUAAUAAACAUGAGGUCAAAUAGAAGGAACAGUUUUAAAUACUGCAGUCCCACAAUGACAAGAAUAAAGUUUCUCAACAAAAACUAAAUCUGCUGGUGGAUUCCAUUAAAGUCCUAAUAAAUGAUAAUAAAGUGUGAUACUAAAGGUUUGUGGUGCUAAAAAUGUCAAAGUAAAGAGAUGAAGUUGAACAUCUGGAUGGAGGUUGAUAAAAGUUGACGUCCCUUCAUUUCUCUGGAGCAACUCCAUGGAUUUUAUGGAUGGUGGUUAAAGACCUGCUCUUCUAGUCGUCUUCCUUCUAGUCGCUGUUAAAAGUCAGUCCAUCCUGGCCGACUUCAACACCUCUUCAUGACAACUUGUUCUGCCUCUGACCUGGUGGAAACUCCAGAAACUCAGGAAAACCUGUGGAGACUCGAAGAACUCGUGGA